rnacentral:rRNA from 1 species
CCUACGGGAGGCAGCAGUGGGGAAUUUUGGACAAUGGGCGCAAGCCUGAUCCAGCAAUGCCGCGUGUGUGAAGAAGGCCUUCGGGUUGUAAAGCACUUUUGUCCGGAAAGAAAUCAUUCUGGCUAAUACCCGGAGUGGAUGACGGUACCGGAAGAAUAAGCACCGGCUAACUACGUGCCAGCAGCCGCGGUAAUACGUAGGGUGCGAGCGUUAAUCGGGAUUACUGGGCGUAAAGCGUGCGCAGGCGGUUUGCUAAGACCGAUGUGANAUCCCCGGGCUCAACCUGGGAACUGCAUUGGUGACUGGCAGGCUAGAGUAUGGCAGAGGGGGGUAGAAUUCCACGUGUAGCAGUGAAAUGCGUAGAGAUGUGGAGNAAUACCGAUGGCGAAGGCAGCCCCCUGGGCCAAUACUGACGCUCAUGCACGAAAGCGUGGGGAGAAAACAGGAUUAGAUACCCUGGUAGUCCACGCCCUAAACGAUGUCAACUAGUUGUUGGGGAUUCAUUUCCUUAGUAACGUAGCUAACGCGCGAAGUUGACCGCCUGGGGANUACGGUCGCAAGAUUAAAACUCAAAGGAAUUGACGGGGACCCGCACAAGCGGUGGAUGAUGUGGAUUAAUUCGA